rnacentral:rRNA from 1 species
AGUGAACGCUGGCGGUAGGCCUAACACAUGCCAGUCGAACGGCAGCACAGUAAGAGCUUGCUCUUACGGGUGGCGAGUGGCGGACGGGUGAGGAAUACAUCUGAAUCUACUUUUUCGUGGGGGAUAACGUAGGGAAACUUACGCUAAUACCGCAUACGACCUACGGGUGAAAGCAGGGGAUCUUCGGACCUUGCGCGAUUGAAUGAGCCGAUGUCGGAUUAGCUAGUUGGCGGGGUAAAGGCCCACCAAGGCGACGAUCCGUAGCUGGUCUGAGAGGAUGAUCAGCCACACUGGAACUGAGACACGGUCCAGACUCCUACGGGAGGCAGCAGUGGGGAAUAUUGGACAAUGGGCGCAAGCCUGAUCCAGCCAUACCGCGUGGGUGAAGAAGGCCUUCGGGUUGUAAAGCCCUUUUGUUGGGAAAGAAAAGCAGCAGGUUAAUACCCCGCUGUUCUGACGGUACCCAAAGAAUAAGCACCGGCUAACUUCGUG